AACAGAGAAGCCGCUGGGACCCUUUUCUAGAAGGGAAUGCUCCAUCUUCAGACGGCUCCCUCGCAUCGAUUCCAGGGUCCCUGCCUCUGUGUCUCUACAUCUUCAUCAAGUAUCUCACGUCUACCCUAACCUCAAUCAUUUGUCAGCGUCUCUCAUCGGAUCCUAUCUAUAUUUUCAAAACGAGAGGACGAGGAAGAGGCACAAUGCGAAUUCCAACGUUUUAACCCUUUUUUGCCAUCCAUGACAUGGCCAUCAUCCUGAAUAUACACACAUUUAUUUUCCCGUUUUUUGCGGUCGACUGAGUUCCUAGUUUCUCGUU
ensembl:ncRNA H21P03.7 ncRNA